rnacentral:rRNA from 1 species
UACGAAGGGGGCUAGCGUUGUUCGGAAUUACUGGGCGUAAAGCGCAUGUAGGCGGAUCGCUAAGUCAGGGGUGAAAGCCCGAGGCUCAACCUCGGAACUGCCUUUGAUACUGGCGAUCUUGAGUCCGGGAGAGGUGAGUGGAACUCCGAGUGUAGAGGUGAAAUUCGUAGAUAUUCGGAAGAACACCAGUGGCGAAGGCGGCUCACUGGCCCGGUACUGACGCUGAGAUGCGAAAGCGUGGGGAGCAAACAGGAUUAGAAACCCCCGUAGUCC